CAAAUGUUGUGGAGAAAACCUAAUUUGAAAAGGGAAGCACUUUUUACUUUGUACCAGGGAAGCUCAUAUGGAAUCCCUCUCAGCCCUAAAUAGUCUCCAUCGCCAGUGAAUGAAGUCCCCAAAGUCGCGCCUGCUUAGACUGCAUGUCAAGACUUGGAUGGAUUUCCAGCCACUAAUGAUUUGUCAGUUGUAAAUAACAAUGGAUAUAAGUAUGUUUUGUCAUAUGAAAAAAUGCGUGUCUAAUGUUAUAACAAACUAAGAAUUUGCAAAAAAUUGAAAUAUGUUCAUAGUGUUUGUAUAUUGUUGAUAAAGGGAAUCACUGGUUUGGACCUGGUGUGGGCAUUAUGUUGCAAGGCACGUAUGAACUGCAACACACAAGAGGCUGUUACACAAAUUGUCUCGUGAAACCAGGUCAUUAUUUUCCGAGAAAUAAAAAAAAUGCAAUGUUGUGACCGUAAGGUUAUUUUUUUGUUAAUUGCAUUUUUUAGACAGUAAUGUAUGAAACUUCCUUCGACUUCCACAAGAAUCGUUUCUUGAGGUGUUUCUUUAUCAUACUGUAUUAUUGUCAGGGUUUAGAUAUCUUCUGCCCUAUCAUUGUGGUGUUUUUUCCUGCCCGUGUGUGUCUAUUCAUUCAGUCACAUGGAGCAGUAAAAUACUGCACGUGCUCGUUGUAAGAUUGAGCCUGCAAGAUACCGAUAGUAUCUGCCAAUACUCUGCCAUGUCCAACCUUCUUUCCGACGGCACUCUGGAUCUGUGAACUGAUCUUUAAACUGCUUUUCAGUCACCAGGCAUUGGUCUGCCAGCCUGCUCAAAUCGACCCCCUUUUUAAAAAGCCUUUGUCUUUACAAUGUAAAAUGUCUUCUGCCUCUGUCUGAGGCCGUUGAUGGCAGUGCCAGUCACAAAAGCGAAAAACAUAAAUCCCGCCAUGGCGUAGAAGACGCCAGUGCCCCCCUCAGAUGAUCCUGAGGGACCAGGAAAAUUGCUGAGCGAUGUGAUGUAUUGAGAUACUUAACCUUUAACACUUAGCUCAUGGGCGUAGUUAUGGGAGUGCCAAAUGUGUGUGGACAUGUGUAGUAUGCGCAGUCUGUGUGUGUGAUCUAUAAACCAAAGCUUUAAAUCCCCUCCUUGAGCCAAUUUAGUUGAGCCUGAGUAAUAUUUAAGGUUCCUAUAAAUGUGGCUUUAACCGCCCAUCAGACAGAGACGAACCUGCACAAGAAGACACGUUACACAUCAAAUCUCUCAAAUUCGAAUUAGAGGGACAUCUUCAUUGCUCUUGAUUGAUAUCAUUUUCACAUCUUUUUGAGCAGAGCUUGAAUUCCCAGAGAAACAUGAGGGGAAAUCGCCCUGUGGAGCUCCCAGAAGACUUCUGGAUCCCCAUCCCCCUGGACACCAACAACAUCACGUCCCUCAGCCCAUUCCUGGUUCCCCAGGACCACCUAGGAAGCCCCGGAAUCUUUUACUCCAUGUCAGCUUUCAUGUUCUUCCUGUUUGUGACCGGUACGGCCAUCAAUACGCUUACCAUUGCAUGCACUGCUAAAUACAAGAAGCUCCGGUCUCAUCUGAACUACAUCCUGGUGAACCUGGCGGUGGCGAACCUCAUUGUGUCCUCUGUGGGCUCUUUCACCUGCUUCUACUGCUUUGCCUUCAGAUACAUGAUCUUUGGUCCACUCGGAUGCAAGAUUGAAGGAUUUUCAGCAACUUUAGGUGGUAUGGUAAGCCUUUGGUCUCUCGCUGUGGUGGCUUUUGAAAGAUGGCUGGUUGUCUGCAAGCCACUGGGGAACUUCAUCUUCAAACCUCACCAUGCAAUAGCUUGUUGCGCUCUCACUUGGGUCUUUGCUUUGAUGGCUUCAGUUCCUCCUCUGGUUGGAUGGAGUAGGUAUAUCCCAGAGGGCAUGCAGUGUUCCUGUGGACCCGAUUGGUAUACAACUGACAACAAGUUCAACAACGAGUCCUACGUGAUGUUCCUCUUCUGCUUCUGCUUCUCUGUCCCUUUCUGCACCAUUGUCUUCUGCUACUCACAGCUGCUAUUCAUGCUGAAAUCGGCAGCAAAGGCUCAGGCUGAGUCGGCCUCCACCCAGAAGGCAGAGAAGGAGGUGACCAGGAUGGUGGUUGUCAUGGUGCUGGGCUUCCUGGUGUGUUGGAUGCCUUAUGCCUCCUUUGCUCUUUGGAUUAUAAACAACCGAGGGCAACCAUUUGACCUGAGACUGGCCACCAUACCCUCCUGCCUCUCCAAAUCCUCCACAGUCUACAACCCUCUUAUUUACAUCUUCCUCAAUAAACAGGUGGGUUCUUCGGAAAAUAGGAAAAUAGGAAACCAUGAAUAAAAGUAUCCAGCCUGGAGAAACUGAGAGACCGUUGACGAAUAGUUGCCUCAAAAUUCAGAUUCUACCGCCUCGCAAAUCAACAUCAUAAAUAUACAUUUCUGGUUGCAAGGAAACUCAACAAUCACGAAACCCCUGGCUGAAUAUGGAACAAAAUGACUGCCAAGAAUAAUUGAUAUCAGAUACCCCUAAAAGACAUACAGAGCAGUGAUUCGGACAGCUUGGUGGAAAUGCAACAAAAUCACUGGACACACUUUAUCAGAAGAAUUUGGGAUCAUAAACCACUGUCACACAAGUAAUAAAAAAGAAGGCCACUGGCGCCCUCUAACGGUUCCUCUCAAAACUACAGAAAGCUUGCUCCGUCCUCAGAGAGAAACCCUGGCAUG